rnacentral:rRNA from 1 species
GGAAUCUUGCGCAAUGGACGGAAGUCUGACGCAGCGACGCCGCGUGGGUGAAGACGGCCUUCGGGUUGUAAAGCCCUUUUCUGGAGGAAGAGGGAGGACGGUACUCCAGGAAUAAGUGUCGGCUAACUACGUGCCAGCAGCCGCGGUAAUACGUAGGACACGAGCGUUAUCCGGAUUUACUGGGCGUAAAGCGCCUGUAGGCGGUUCUUCAAGUCGUUUGUGAGAGCCCUGGGCUCAACCUGGGGAGGCCAAGCGAUACUGGAGGACUUGAGGGUGACAGAGGGGAGUGGAGUUUCCGGUGUAGCGGUAAAAUGCGCAGAUAUCGGGAGGAACACCAGUGGCGAAGGCGGCUCCCUGGGUCACACCGAGACGCUGAGAGGCGAAAGCUAGGGGAGCGAAC